rnacentral:ncRNA from 2 species
GUCACCAGAACGGAUCCGGGUCUACUGUCGCCACGCCUUGGUGAACGGGAAAUCCGGUGCGAUACCGGUGCGGCCCUCGCCACUGUGAUCGGGAAGUCCGGCUCCGGCCCCUGGCCCUGUCCCCCGACAGGACCGACGGGCAGCCACUGGGUCCACUUGGGGCCUGUCGUCACAUUCCUGUCGUCCGCCCGGAGGGCGGGAAUGUGACGACAGACCCUAGGACCCGGGAAGGCGGAGCACGGGCGGUGGUACCCGUCAGCCAGGAGACCGGCCAAGGCGCGUCAACCAUC